rnacentral:lncRNA from 13 species
GAGAAACUGUAAUAUCUGGUGGUGACCCACGAAAUUGCAGGACUGAUUAUAGCAAGUCAGUUUAUAUUUUACUUCACUAGCUAGCUAAAAUUGAACGAGGCAGCAUCAACACCCGACCAACAGCAUUGGCUUUUUGGCUUCCAGCUCCGGUUCCUAGAUGGAAGUGGACUGCGGUGUGAGGUGAUGCAGAGGCUCACCUCGUAGGGGGAUUUUCAGGUCUGCUGCUGAGGAGUGGUGUUCUUACUGCCGCUUUUACAGUCGCUGAAGCAUCACCACGUGGGUGCUACAUUUCAGUAGUGGACGAUCUAGCCUGAUCUACGGAGGAGAAGCUGUAAACAUCGAAGACGAAAAGGUGCCUGACGAAGAGCUCCGAGGCCUGUCUGUCAGAUGUCUCUACCUCCCUGCCUGGCUCUACCAUCAAUGCUCCCUCUGCUCGAGAUAGAAAGCUCCCUGGCCAUCCACUCAAGAAAAAAAUUGUCCUGCGGCUGAAUCUAAUCGAUGAUCCCUGGUUUACUCCAUGGCACACAUCAACAUACCCAUUAACACACACUGCUGAGGAAGAUAAGCAUUGAAAACAUUGAAGGAGCAUAGAAAAAAUAAAGAAUAUCACCAGGGUCGCCUUGUCUUCCCAGCCUUCCCCGUUUUCCUGGAGGCCCUAGAAGGAUGACAAAGAGAGAGGAGCAGAGAUGAUUUAUUUGUCUGUUUAUUAGCUUACUAAUUUAACAUACAGGUUGCCUAUAUUUCCCAUUCAAUAUAUAUUUGUCUUUUUCGAGUGCAACAGCUGAAUUGCAUUAAAAUGAUUUCACUUUCGUUUGAACACAUCCCCUGUCUUUUGUUGUCACCACAGUUUGGGAUUACAGCUUCAAUAAACAAACCUAUUUCAUAGUGUGUAACUUCCAGUACACAGCUUCCAGUGGGGAAUGAUCUGUUGACUUCUCAGAUAUCUGAACUAGUCAGGAAGUGACCGUGUUUGUACAAGUCCGAUAAGGUUCUUCCAUUACAGAGCAUAAUUUGUGCGUAGAGACAGGAGGAGAUGGCGAACAUGACCUGACAAAACUGGUGCUAUGACAAUGGGUCAACAGAUCACUUAAC